rnacentral:lncRNA from 1 species
ACUAAUUACGAAAAAUAAAAUAAAGUCCUAAUAUAACUGGGAAAGUGGUGUUUCCAGCUAGGAUUUUCGUGCAUCAAAUCUGGAAACUUCUGAAAAUUGACCGAGUCAAAUCCACGUAUUGCAGGCUAAGGACGUGCAGCAACUUCGAGAUCAAUUUUGACCUUGAUAAAUUCAGUAUGUAUCAAAACUCAAAACAUGAACGUUGUAGAGCGUUUUCUUGGCUUUCCACAGCAUCUUGAAUCAUCUCAAUCAGAGCUCGGAUGAAAAAGUUAUGCUUAAAUUACGAAGCAAUAUUGAAACUGUCCAAAAUCAUCCAAUUAGCUUCGUUUUGUACUUAACGCUUCCAUUUGCAUCCUAAAUCAAAAUAUAAGAAUAAUGAGUACAUGUAGGCACAAAAUAAGUAUAAAAGACUAAACAUUA